UUGAGCUAUUGCAUAUUUACAAUAUUUGAUACAGUUUUUUAUAGUGUAUAUUAAUGUUUUUCGGUAUAUUGGUGCAAUAUUGAUUAAUUAUUAAUACGUAAAUAUUACGGCGAAAUUAUUGCAAUAAUCGCGAACGUGUCGCGUUUUAUUCGCGCGAUUUAUUUUAAUAAUGAACAUGUGAAAUAUAUUGUGAAAUUGUGUAUAAAAUGUGUUGCAUGCGCAAAAUAAUAAAAGAGAAAGUGAUUUGUUAAUAAUUGUGUCAAUUUGUGAAAAUGAAAAUUGUGUCUGAUUGCGUAGAUAAUUUGCAAUAAUGUGGUAAAAGUGUUUUUAAUACACAAGUGCCGGGAUAACCUUGGGGAUAAAUAUUAUUUGAUAAUAUUUCUUAAUAUUUAAAUAAUCGUGGCCAUCGAUCUUCCUCCAAAAUCUCAUCAUCCGAUGCAACAAUUCAAAUAGUUUUCACUGAUUUUUUUCGGUUUGCAAACAAAUUGCAAAUAUGGAACACACUCACGUCGAAAAAAUCAGAUGUUCCGGACCGUGUGUAACGAGAUAGAGAUGAGGGCUGACCAAUAGGACAUUUGCGACAUCUAGUGGCGAGUGACGGAAUGAACUAAGCUGGGGGUUUAAGGAAGAAACCGUCGAGCGGAUUUAAUGAGGAGCAAGGAAAAGGAACAUGAGGAAGGAUAUCAAAAAGGGUGGAUGGAACUACAGGGUGUUCAAACAAACAAAACUCACAUGAAAUUUUGCAAAAAAAUACUUUUUGGUUAUGUACACUGGAGCGAAAGAACUUUUCCUCAUCCUGUCCAUUAAAUCUGCUCGCCUAGCGUGUAAAAUCACAUAGCAAAGGACGAACAUGAAAAAGGAAAACUCCGGACAAGCGGAUUAAAGACUAACUCUGAAAGCGCCCCGAAGACAUCUUUAGACUGUUCCGUCUCGUCAGGAAAAGCUCUCUCAGUGCACACACGGAUUGCAAACUGCUUUAACGAACCGUGAAUAGCAGCGCUGAGCAAAGAAGCAUUGAAAAGCUUUAUAAAAGAGUUUCCAUUGGAGAUCCAACCCUCUUGUUGACCGUGAAUGGAGCGAAACGUGCGCUUAAUGGAUUUUCAAAUGAGAAUUUAAUCUAGGAAUAUGUGUUGGAGAAGGGGAUGAUUUGUAACUGCCAGUGGAUAUUUACGAACGCACAUGAAAAUAAUAAAAAACAGAAUCGACGAAUCGAAAUAAAAAUAAAGCUUCGAACGGCGAGCGAAAAAAAGGCGCGCCAGCACGAAAAAAAAGAGCGUCGGGAACAAAAUAAUAAAUAAGCAAAAAAAAACUGUUGCAUACGUCAUACCCACCCUCUUCUCGUGUGCAUUCCGCUAGCUCUGUCCAUGGCGCUGCGUCGAAGCGAGCGCGCACUCGAAGAGGAGGCGACGCGCUGUUUGUUCGCGGAGUUUUAAAAACGCGCAUUCCAAAACAAUAAUACUCAAUCAAUGAUAGCAAUGAGCCAAUAACCAA